rnacentral:rRNA from 1 species
AACGAACGCUGGCGGCAGGCCUAACACAUGCAAGUCGAACGCUCCGCAAGGAGAGUGGCAGACGGGUGAGUAACACGUGGGAAUCUUCCUAUCGGUACGGAAUAGCUCAGGGAAACUUGAGGUAAUACCGCAUACGCCCUUCGGGGGAAAGAUUUAUCGCCGAUAGAUGAGCCCGCGUCUGAUUAGCUAGUUGGUGGGGUAAUGGCCCACCAAGGCGACGAUCAGUAGCUGGUCUGAGAGGAUGACCAGCCACACUGGGACUGAGACACGGCCCAGACUCCUACGGGAGGCAGCAGUGGGGAAUAUUGGACAAUGGGCGCAAGCCUGAUCCAGCCAUGCCGCGUGAGUGACGAAGGUCUUCGGAUUGUAAAGCUCUUUUGCCAGGGACGAUAAUGACGGUACCUGGAGAAUAAGCCCCGGCUAACUUCGUGCCAGCCGCCGCGGUAAUAC